ACUCCUACGGGAGGCAGCAGUGGGGAGUUUUGGACAAUGGGCGAAAGCCUGAUCCAGCCAUGCCGCGUGCAGGAUGAAGGCCUUCGGGUUGUAAACUGCUUUUGUACGGAACGAAACGGCCUUUUCUAAUAAAGAGGGCUAAUGACGGUACCGUAAGAAUAAGCACCGGCUAACUACGUGCCAGCAGCCGCGGUAAUACGUAGGGUGCAAGCGUUAAUCGGAAUUACUGGGCGUAAAGCGUGCGCAGGCGGUUAUGUAAGACAGUUGUGAAAUCCCCGGACUCAACCUGGGAACUGCAUCUGUGACUGCAUAGCUAGAGUACGGUAGAGGGGGAUGGAAUUCCGCGUGUAGCAGUGAAAUGCGUAGAUAUGCGGAGGAACACCGAUGGCGAAGGCAAUCCCCUGGACCUGUACUGACGCUCAUGCACGAAAGCGUGGGGAGCAAACAGGAUUAGAAACCCGGGUAGUCCCAUGAU
rnacentral:rRNA from 1 species